UACGUAGGGUGCGAGCGUUAAUCGGAAUUACUGGGCGUAAAGCGUGCGCAGGCGGUUCGCUAAGACCGAUGUGAAAUCCCCGGGCUCAACCUGGGAACUGCAUUGGUGACUGGCGGGCUAGAGUAUGGCAGAGGGGGGUGGAAUUCCACGUGUAGCAGUGAAAUGCGUAGAGAUGUGGAGGAACACCGAUGGCGAAGGCAGCCCCCUGGGCCAAUACUGACGCUCAUGCACGAAAGCGUGGGGAGCAAACAGG
rnacentral:rRNA from 1 species